CCUACGGGUGGCAGCAGUGAGGAAUAUUGGUCAAUGGACGAGCGUCUGAACCAGCCAAGUAGCGUGAAGGAUGACUGCCCUAUGGGUUGUAAACUUCUUUUAUAUGGGAAUAAAACGUUCCACGUGUGGGAUUUUGUAUGUACCAUAUGAAUAAGGAUCGGCUAACUCCGUGCCAGCGGCCGAGGUAAUAAGGAGGAUCCGAGCGUUAUCCGGCGUUAUUGGGUUUAAAGGGAGCGUAGGGGGAUGGUUAAGUUCGUUGUGAAAGUUUGCGGCUCAACCGGAAAAUUGCAGGUGAAACUGGCAGUCGUGAGUACAGUAGAGGUGGGCGGAAUGCGGGGUGUAGCGGUGAAAUGCUGAGAUAUCACGAAGAACUUCGAUUGCGAAGGCAGUUCACUGGACUGCAACUGACACUGAGGCUCGAAAGUGUGGGUAUCAAACAGGAUUAGAUACCCUAGUAGUC
rnacentral:rRNA from 1 species